AGUCACUGACAUUAGAUACCCGUGUAGUCCUGGCCGUAAACGAUGUGGACUUGGUGUUGGAAUGGCUCCGAGCUGCUCCAGUGCCGAAGGGAAGCUGUUAAGUCCACCGCCUGGGAAGUACGGUCGCAAGACUGAAACUUAAAGGAAUUGGCGGGGAGCACCACAACGCGUGGAGCCUGCGGUUUAAUUGGAUUCAACGCCGGACAUCUCACCGGGGGCGACAGCAGAAUGAUGGCCAGGUUGAUGACCUUGCUUGACAAGCUG
rnacentral:rRNA from 1 species